rnacentral:rRNA from 2 species
ACGGCUCAGUAACACGUGGACAACCUGCCCUUAGGACGGGGAUAAACCCGGGAAACUGGGUAUAAUACCCGAUAGGUCUCGAUUGCUGGAAUGCAUCGAGAUUUAAAGCUCCGGCGCCUAAGGAUGGGUCUGCGGCCUAUCAGGUAGUAGUGGGUGUAGCGUACCUACUAGCCUACGACGGGUACGGGUUGUGAGAGCAAGAGCCCGGAGAUGGAUUCUGAGACACGAAUCCAGGCCCUACGGGGUGCAGCAGGCGCGAAAACUUUACAAUGCUGGCAACAGCGAUAAGGGAACCUCGAGUGCCAGGUUACAAAUCUGGCUGUCGAGAUGCCUAAAAAGCAUUUCAUAGCAAGGGCCGGGCAAGACCGGUGCCAGCCGCCGCGGUAACACCGGCGGCUCGAGUGGUAACCGUUAUUAUUGGGUCUAAAGGGUCUGUAGCCGGCCGGAUAAGUCUCUUGAGAAAUCUGGCAGCUUAACUGUCAGGCUUUCAGGAGAUACUGUCUGGCUCGAGGCCGGGAGAGGUGAGAGGUACUUCAGGGGUAGGGGUGAAAUCUUGUAAUCCUUGAAGGACCACCAGUGGCGAAGGCGUCUCACCAGAACGGACCUGACGGCAAGGGACGAAAGCUAGGGGCACGAACCGGAUUAGAUACCCGGGUAGUCCUAGCCGUAAACGAUACUCGCUAGGUGUCGGCCACGGUGCGACCGUUGUCGGUGCCGUAGGGAAGCCGUGAAGCGAGCCACCUGGGAAGUACGGCCGCAAGGCUGAAACUUAAAGGAAUUGGCGGGGGAGCACA